ensembl:snRNA U6 U6 spliceosomal RNA
GUGCUCACUUGGGCAGCACAUACACUAAAAUUGGAAUGAUACAGAGAAGAUUAGCAUGGACCUUUCCCAAGAAUGGCAUGCAAAUUCGUGAAGUGUUUCAUAUUUUU